UACAGAGGUCUCAAGCGUUGUUCGGAUUCAUUGGGCGUAAAGGGUGUGUAGGUGGCGCGCUAAGUCGGGUGUGAAAUUUCGGAGCUUAACUCCGAAACUGCAUUCGAUACUGGCGUGCUUGAGGACUGGGAGAGGAGACUGGAAUUCAUGGUGUAGCAGUGAAAUGCGUAGAGAUCAUGAGGAAGACCAGUGGCGAAGGCGGGUCUCUGGACAGUUCCUGACACUGAGACA
rnacentral:rRNA from 1 species